GACCGCAGUCGGUGUAUUCUUGUAUCUGACUUGUGAAUGUGGCAACGGCGAGUCAGGGAGGGGUGAACCGGUGUUUGGAUUUUUAUAUUCAAGUAACGAUAGCGAGUUUAUGGUCAUAGCUUGUGAUAUAUAUUUAGAAACAACAACGGAAUCACGAUUUUUGUUUUGACUAUUAUUGUCUAACCCGAAGAGAAUAUGAAAAAUAACAUGGGGCGGUAGGGGACAUUGAAAUGAUUAUCUGCGAGGAUUCAUAGCACAAGCUGUUUCUUUUUUUUCGUUUUCCCCACUUUGGAUUUAUUUUACAUACCGUGGGAAAGCCGGAAAAGCCGCCGGACAGCGGGCCGAGAGGAUGGACCAGGCGAAUAUCCUGAGAAAGUUCAUCCAAGGGGUCUGUGUUAUGCGAGAAGGGGACCAGAAAGGAGAGGAUAACUUCGGCAGUGACUUUAUGAGAUUACGAAGAUUAUCGACCAAAUACAGGACAGAGAAGAUCUACCCCACCAACGUCGGGGAAAAGGAAGACAAUGUGAAGAAGAACCGCUAUAAAGACAUACUGCCCUUUGACCACACGAGGGUAAAGCUGACUUUAAAAACAACCAAUCAGGAUUCAGAUUACAUCAAUGCCAGCUUCAUCAAGGGAAUGGAUGGUCCAGAGGCCUACAUCGCUACCCAGGGUCCUCUACCCAACACUGUCAUCGACUUCUGGAGAAUGAACUGGGAGUACAGUGUAGCCGUCAUCGUAAUGGCAUGUCGAGAAUUCGAGAUGGGAAGGAAAAAGUGUGAGCGGUACUUUCCCCAGUUUGGUGAUGAGCCCAUGUCUUUUGGCCCGUUCAGAAUCUCCUGUGAAUCAGAACAGCCCAGAACGGACUAUUUCAUCAGGACCCUGACAGUGGAGCAUGAGAAUGAGACACGGAGGAUAACCCAGUUCCAUUACAUCAACUGGCCAGACCAUGACGUUCCCUCGUCCUUUGACUCCAUCUUGGAUAUGAUUGGUCUGAUGAGAGAGUACCAGGAGCAUGAUGAUGUACCCAUCUGUAUACACUGCAGUGCUGGCUGUGGGAGGACAGGCGCCAUCUGUGCUAUAGACUACACGUGGAACCUACUAAAGGCUGGGAAGAUUCCAGAAGACUUCAACGUGUUCCGGCUGAUUCAGGAGAUGAGAACACAGAGGCAUUCUGCUGUUCAGACCAAGGAACAGUAUGAGUUGGUUCACAGAGCCAUCUCUCAGCUCUUUGAGAAACAGCUGCAGCUCCUGGAGAGCCCCACCAACUCAGAGAUCCAUGGUGGCAUGGACGAUGGGCUCAGCCCAGAGAAAGCUGGACACCAGUCAGAUGAGGAGCGAUGGGACACACCGCCCCCCAAACCACCCCGCAUACGCAGCAGUCAGUUGGAAGGGGACGUGAAAGAGGAGAUCCUUCAGCCCCCAGAGCCACGCCCGGUUCCUCCCAUCCUGACCCCAUCACCCCCCUCUGCCUUCCCCACCGUCACCAACGUACGUCAGGACAACGACCGCUACCACCCCAAGCCUGUCAUCCACGUCCUGGCCUCUGCACAACAACAACAGCAGCCCCAGAAAGCCCAACAAGCCCCCGACCUGAAGGAGAACUAUAACAAGACAUCGUUGGACAGUGUCCCCUCAGGAGGCCCCCCUGCCCAGGCCCCCUCUCCCUCCUCCCCCUCCCCAGUGGACGGGGCAGUGCGUCUAGAGAGGAAGCUGAGUAUUGAGAUACAGAAGGUUCCGUUACAGGAGGGUCCUAAGAGCUUCGAUGGUAACAGCAAGCUGCAUAGAUCCCUUGCCUUCAAGGCCCGCUCCAACACCUCCAGUUCCUCUCUUUCUGAGGACUCAGGGGCCGACGGGGGGCCCCCCAACAUAACACACCAGGGCGCCUUUGGACCCCUCUCCUCCCGCCCCAACCACCUGCCCCUUAAGGGGGAGAAGGGGGGUCAGGCAGGCUGGAUCAGCCCAGAGAAAGCCCCCACGCCUCCAGCCCUGGUGGCUGGGUCAGAGAGCCUCCCCAUCUCCAAUCUGUCCUCUUCCCAGCCCCUCUCCUCCACCUCCACCCCUGUCAGGACUGCUCUGAGCUUCACCAAUCCUCUGCACUCAGACUUCCCUGAUGUGAAGGGAGAUGGAGGAGGGGAGUGUUCCAGACCUUCAUGGUCCUCCAAGGCUACGGCCACGGUUACGGCGGCCCAUGGAGAACACCCGCCCAGGAAGGUGUCGACCAUGUCCAUCGCCGAGCAACGGUCGCCGACGGAAACGGCAUCAAACAGUGACCAGAGUGAAGAUUCCCCUCCCCCUCUACCUGAGAGAACCCCAGAGUCCUUCAUUUUGGCCACAGACCCAUCAGAGUUGAAGGCACCAGGAUCAUCAGACUGGACUAUCUCAGAGGACCAGUCAGGAAAAGGUUUUCCUCAGGAGCAGAGGAGUACACAGGCACAGGUAGCAGAGAGAGAUCUCCAUGGAAAUGAAUCAUUGAUGUCGUUAAAUGAUCUAAAAGGUCUGGUCUGGAGGUCUGUCUGGUCUGGAGGUCUGUCUGGUCUGGAGAACCGUCAGGAGAGAGGAGUAAGAAGAUUUCAGAUGCAGCAGGAGUAGAAACAUCAGCUGCCAACACCACAGUAGCAGACAGCACAGCAGAGAGCAAGGCUUCCUCAGAGAUGGGAUACGGUAACCGCUGCACACAACCCAAAGGCCCCAGGGACCCCCCUACACAGUGGACAUGAUCAUGGCUUCUACCUAUAGCCAACGACCCCUUCACUGUCCUCCUCCACCCUCCAAAUCCUCCUUGAUCCUCACCUUGUCUCUUUCAAGUGCCACUGUGUUUGAAGUAGAUGACUGGGUGCUGUCCCAUCCUUGGACACUGCCAUCUUUUCCUAACUAAUAGGGCAGAUGUGAAAUGGCACCCUAUUCCCUAUAUAGUGCACUGUAUAUUUGGCCAGAGUCUUGUACAUAUAGGUAACAGGGUGCCAUUUGAGACAAAGCCUAAAACACAAUCUGCAAAGCAAUUUAGAUAAUCUACCCAGGAUGCAACGGUACACCUUUCUGCUGUACUUGUGCCAGUUGCCAGGGGCUCUCUGUGUGCUGGUGCUAUUAUGUGUUUCCCAAAUGGAACUCCAUUCCAUAUAUAGUGCACUACUUUUGACCAGGGACCAUGGGCUCUGGUCAAAAGUAGUGCACUACUUAGGGAAUAGUGUGUCAUUUGGGAUGUACAAUUAUCUUAUCUCCUUCUCUGCUGGGACCAUACAAACCUGCCUUAUUCCCUUUGGGGGCAAAUCCUAACUUCCACUUAAGUUGAAUUUUCACUUAGUCAUGAGGAUGUGAAUGGGAGAGAAUUUGUCUUAAAUGCAAGUUAGGAUUUGACUCUUAGUCCGAAACAAUCCGUCACAUUGGAUCCUGAUUCAUCUUUUUGUUUGGUUUUCUAUUCCAGAAAAAUACUUGACUUUCUUAUCUUCUGUACUUUUAGACUUGUAUUAUGCCAUGACAGAAGAAGACAUGUAUCACUAGGGACAGAGGACUACUGUUAUAUUAUUUACUUUCAUUUUCAUUUCUUUGCUAACUUCUCGAUAGCUAUAUAUGCAUUGUUUUAUAAAUGUACAGGGCAACUAGGUAUAUAAUAUUUAAUGUGCUAUCUCUAAAUAUUCUUAUUAACAGAAGAUGUAACAAAUCUGUCCAUGACACCCCUCCCUCUCCCCAAUGUUCCUCCAACUGUAAAUGAUUUGUCCUCUUGUUCUAGCAAAUAAUGCAGGGUUUUGUUCUAAUGAUGUUUAACGGUUUUGGAUCAGCUGGACCUGGCAUAGCGCCGUCCUCUUGCUGAGAUGGCAAACGGGCUCAAGAUUGUGUGAUGAUAAUGCUCUUUUUGUAAAUUCUAUUCUAGAGGAUAUUUUUGUAUAUGCCGUUUCUCCUCUCUUCAGUUUCUGCCCUACACCAGGGAUAGUCCACUCCAGUCUGGGAGGACUUCAAGACUCCUGGAUUUCUUUCUCUCUCGCUCCUUCUAAUCAGACUAAUUAAUACCUGGUGAUGACAUCACCAGAUGAUUAGACUCUCUGGCCAAUCAGAGACAUGAUUCAAUCAAUCAAUUAACUAAACCAGGAGUACUUUGGUGUUCCAGGCCUGGAGUUGAAUUCCCUUGGACCCUAACUGCUACCACUAGCAUUUGUUUUGGAGCCCGCCUGUGCCUUUUGGAGAGUGCUGCCCCCCUUCUCCCAUCAUCAGCAGCUGCAGCACGUGUAGCGACGUGCUCAGCCGUGUUGGUUGGUCCACUCCUCUUGGAAACUGCUUGCAUCCCAAAUGGAACCCUAUUCCUUAUAUAGUCCACUACUUUUGACCAGACCAGUCUCGAGUCAAAAGUAGUGCACUAUGUAGGGAAUAGGGCCCUAUGGGGACUCUGGUCAAAAGUAGUGCACUAUAUAGGGAACAUGGUACCAUUUUGGGACACAGGCCUCUCUAAGAAACACCCCUCCUCCCACACAACACAGACCUGUUUGUAUGUUGCAGAAAUCAAUGGACCCGUCAGUAAAGACUAAAGACAUCAAGUAGAACAUGCUUCCUUGUUUUCCUACACUGUGUUUUAAAGAGUCUCUAGAGGGGCUGGGGGAGUAGCGCUGGGGCUUCCUGUGUGUGUGUGUGGGGCUUCCUGUGUGUGUGUGUGGGUGGGUGGGGAUUCUCUGUGUGUGUGUGUGUGUGAGAUCAUGCUGUAGGUGUUCAGAGGGAUGAGUACAUUGCACUGUCUUGGGACUUAGCAGGAAGUGAGCAAGGCGGGAGUUCUCAUCAACCUGGGGUUUUCCACGCACACACACACACACACACGGUUCCAUCUAAGGUCCACUUAGGCCUGGGGUUUAUCCUUCAUCUGUUCUAAUGUGACACAUUUUCUCACUGUAGGUUGGCACAUAUGAUGCAUGACACACACUUCAAUUGGAAGGGUUUUAGUAUGUGUUUGAUGAAAUGAGUUCCCACACACCUGGGGGUUUCCUCAUGUGUUUGACACUCAUUUCCUCCCUGUGACUGCAGGUGGGGGAGUUAUUGAUGAGGCAUGUCACACUGACACCAACACACACUUCUAUCGGGGCAGAUUUCUGGAAUGUAUUGGGCUCACAUGUUCCAAUAACAUUACAUUGUUUACACGUUUCAAAUCCGAAGCUACUGGUCCCAUUGAGGAAGCUCAGUUUAAUGAAUAAAGAUCUACAACUGGAA